AGGCGAAAUCCCGGCAGUUGCCGGGAUCGCCGGAGGGUUGCGCCUCCGGCCUGAUGAUGCCAGCUUAAU
rnacentral:hammerhead_ribozyme from 1 species